GACAGCAGUAGCCGCGGUAAUUCGGAAGGUCCAGGCGUUAUCCGGAUUUAUUGGGUUUAAAGGGAGUGUAGGCGGUCUGUUAAGCGUGUUGUGAAAUUUAGGUGCUCAACAUUUAACUUGCAGCGCAAACUGGCGGACUUGAGUGCACGCAACGUAUGCGGAAUUCAUGGUGUAGCGGUGAAAUGCUUAGAUAUCAUGACGAACUCCGAUUGCGAAGGCAGCGUACGGGAGUGUUACUGACGCUUAAGCUCGAAGGUGCGGGUAUCGAACAGGAUUAGAUACCCCGGUAGUCCCUGUCUCUUAUAC
rnacentral:rRNA from 1 species